GUGUGACUCACCUUACGGCCCAAACGGGAAGUCUUCUUCAACGGGGAUGUAACGGAGCGUGUUUCUGCUCGGGAUUCAGACUGCAAUGCGUCUAGAUAGGCGAUCGAGUCCACAUCAACCAUGAAGACGGGAGACCGCGGUUGGAUUUAUAGCGCCUUUCCAAUUUUGUUAAUGAUCAUUCUCCUGUCACAUUCGAAUGGAGUAAGAUCACAAACAACAAAUAAUUCCUCCUCUGAAAAUACGACGGCUAUGAACUUAACUUCUGAAACAUCAGAAACAACAACAAUAGCGCCGAUAUCUCAAACAGAUGCAUCAUCUUCAAGAACAACAGAGACUAGCUGGAGCACAGUUGCAAUGCAAACAUCUGUGCCUUCAACAACAGCUUUAGGUACAACUUCAUCAAAUGAAGAAGGGAUUACCAGUGCACCUGUUUCAACAAUAACUGGCAUGCCAUUAGCAAAUACUUCCACAGCCGAAAUCCCAACAGAUGUACCCAGUCCCUCUAAUACAGCAACCACAGGAAUGACAACAUUUUGCAGUGCU
rnacentral:lncRNA from 1 species